UACAUAUGGGGCAAGCGUUGUUCGGAAUUACUGGGCAUAAAGGGUGCGUAGGUGGUCUAUUAAGUCAGGGGUGAAAUCCCGCGGCCCAACCGUGGAACGGCCCUUUGACUACUGAUGGACUUGAGUGCGUGAGGGGUAGGGGGAACGAGGCCAGUGUAGCGGUGAAAUGCGUAGAUAUUGCUCGGAAGGCCAGAGCCGAAGGGGCCCUACUGGUACGUAACUGACACUGAGGCACGAAAGCGUGGGGAGCAAACAGG
rnacentral:rRNA from 1 species